UUUCCCAUGUUUAUCAAGAAUGGUCCACUACCUAAUGGACUUCAAGCCAACUUAACACAACUGGAGUUAACAUGGGCCAGCAUCCCUGUGGAAUGGUUUUGACGCCUUGUAGAGUUGUGCACCUCAAUAUUAGGAAGGUGUUCCUAAUGUUUGCUAUACUCAGUGUAUAUAACACAUUUCAUGUUAUUUUAACACACUAAUUCUCUUUUUCUAAAGUCGGUGCAUUGUUUUUUUUUUACAAGAACAGGACAGGAUACAUUGAAAGACAAAAAAAAUAACUGUUACCUGUACAGGAAUGAUUUGCUGUUGGUAAGUCAAGUUUAGAAUACGAUUCAGUCUGUGGGUGAGACUGUUGUGGCUGUACCUAACCCACACAGUGAUCAGAAAACUGUAGACGUAACUGAAACACAGAAAAACAGGGAAACAGCGUCCUCUGGUGUGCAGAGCUCAGCAGACGGGGGAAAAACAACCCAAGUGAGGUGAGUUUCAAAACACAGGUGGGCUAUAAAACAUUACUAAACAUUUAAAAUUGUACUUGUAACUCCCCUUUACUACGGCAUUUGAAAUUGUAUUUGUAUAUUUUACAUUGUCAUGAUGACGUCACUUGCGUGUUUUAGAAUAAUUGUAUUUUGUCUUUUAGAGUGAUAAAGCAAUGCUACAUCACUCGGGCCAGGAUGCAAGAGAAAAGAGAAGCUGGCCGUGGCUUUACAGAAUAGGAGCUAGUGGAGCUGGAAGAGAGAGUGAUUCUGAAUCAGAGGAAGAAGUUGGUCCACUAGAUAGAAACCCAGACCAAACCAGAGCCAGUGGACAACAAAGUUCAUCAGAUAUUCCACAGAGUGACGGCGCUCCAAGAGAGAGUGGUUACGGACUGUGAUGGAUUUUUUUUAAAGCAGCUCGUGGCUGAAGCAGAGACGAGAAGUGUCAGAAUAUUUGGGUCAAUGACGAAUAAGGUUUUCAAAAACAUUUUAAAAGGGAAAAAUAUUAAUUUCGAAACACUUUUUAUGUUCCCUUGAGUGUUACCUACAAUGUGUUUGCACAUUCAGGAUUUGUCGCUUUUUAUGCAAGUUAAAUUUACUUCCUAAAAAAAGUCAUCCUGUCUGACCAUACAUUUUUUUAUAUAAAAAAUGUUUUCUGACCAUUAUUUCUAACAAAGAAGAGUAAAAUAUGAAUAUAAACAUGGUCUCAGUUAUUCAAUAUCAAAGCAGUUAAAAAUUACGGUAUAAUUUUUUAACUUUUCACUGGACGACCCCACAUUUUGAAUGACUGUCAACUAAAAUUUCUGUUAGAGAAAUUAAAAUCAUAAUCAAUUUUACAAAAAUGCAUUUUUCUCUUAUAGACUGAGCUUCUCUGCAUUUUAUUAGACAAUAUAAUAAUGUUAUUGUUUUUAACCAUUAAGUACCGAAUGAUCAUUGCUGGUUGCACCGAAUGACUAUUAUUUUACAGUGUAAUUUUUUUUAGGCAGAUCUCUUUCCCUCUUACAGAAACACACACAUACAUAAACAGUAUGGUUUCUUAUUCAACUACAAUGAUGCCUUUAAUGCUUAAUAAAUUACAAGAAAUGUGACUCAAAUGUUUAUCACGCAGAAACAUUUCAUCAUGAACAUGGCAAUGAACUUCUAAAAAUGAUAAAAAUUCUGCACUAUGAUACAUUUUUCAAACAAUGUUAAAACAGUUAAGAAUCAAUGUAAUACAUACAUAGUAAAGUUCUUGAAGUACAGUAAUGACAUUCAAACAUUAAAAUACAAAACGUUUAAGAAAGUGUUCUACAUUACAUCAAUUACUCAUUUGAUUAAAAACUAAUGAAAUUGCUCUGUGCAAUGUCUUGUAAAAACAUUAAUGUAACAUUAAAACAUCCACAGAUAUGUUUAAGUUUGUGCAGAACAGUGCAAGAUUAAAACAAUUAUAAAUGUGAAAGCAAUUCAUGAGGUUCAACCAUUAAAUACAAAUGAUUUCAUUGCAGCAAAAGUUGUAACAGAAACUCAAGUUGACAAUUAUCAAACUUGCAUUCCUCAGUUUGUUUGAUGAUGUUGCACUCAUGUGACAAGAAAGCAGCCCAGUCUGUGUCGGACAGCCGAGAUGCUCUUAAGCUCAAGGGCUUGGGCUCACUGAUCAUUGCCUUCACAUCUCUUUCAUAGUACAAGGUAAUGUCUGGCACAGAUGACCAGACAAAAACAUUCCUCACUCCAUACUGCUGCAUAGAAGUGAUCAGCACUUCCUUUCCUAAUCACCUUCAGUACCUGGCCUACAAAGGGGCGGUAGCGGUAAGUGAGUAAAAUCACUGAGAAAGCCAAGCCAGUAAAAAAGUCAUAUUAUAACCUAUGUUGUGAUAAUUAGGUUGUUUGCUCAAACCCAUUCGUUCAUUCGCCACCGUGAUAUACAAUAAGGCCGUGACAACAAAAAGACAACAGUCACGGAAUAAAUUCAACUACACAUACGUUUGUUUCAUCACAAAACUGGAGAGCAAUAUCUGUGGUGAAGGCCACAAAGCAAAUAUUGCAUACAAACAGUUAUUUUUAUUAUUUUAUUUAAUCAGGCAAGUCAGUUAAGAACAAAUUCUUAUUUGCAAUGACAGCCUACCCAGGAAUAGUGGGUUAAAUGCCUUGUUCUCACGUAAACAUGUUUUACAGGCAACUGCUUGUGCACCCAUGUGAGAACUUGACUUUUACCUUUAAGUAUGCAUCUUGAGUAUCAAAAUAAAAUACAAGCUUUUCAGAUAAUUCAAAAUUUGUAUUGUUUUUUAGCAUUUUCUGGGGGGGUAAAACCUGACAGGGAGUGGAAACGUGAACUUAUUAAACAUUUACGAGCAACUUCCUAACAUUUCUUCUUAACCAAAGGCUGCCUCACAGGCAUCUUAAUGAUGUCACAUAUUGUCACUAGUAUCAUCAUGUGAUUUGAUCCAAAAUGGUGACUUCAUGUCAGUUGCACCGAAUGAUAAUCAUGAAGGCUAAUUUUCCGGACAAAAGUAUUUCAAGUAUUUAAAACCUUUCUGCCUAAACUGUCUUACCCAUAUACAAGUGUAGUGCAGUAGACCAUUAGACAAUCAUGCCAGAAUAAUCUUUUGACAGUUUUGUUAUGAUUUAAGAUGUUUUAUUAACACAUAUAGAUUGUAUUUCGUUUUUGGACAGGUGCACAGAAUGAAAAAGUGGAGAAAAAAAUCACAUCUAACCAUUAACUCUUUUAGGACAAAGUAAAAGAGAAAGAGCAUAGUUUCAUAACAUAAAAUGUGUAUAUAUUGGUUGUUGAUUUUGGGAAAAUAUUUCAUUCGGACACCAAAAUAUGCACAUCAAGCCAUUGACACAUUUACAUUCUAGUUGUGUUUACCCAGAGUGCCUUUCUCAGAUAUUCAGAUUUGUCGACAAGACCCUUCUGCUGCAGCAGAGUAACCUCCAUGCUGCCAGGUGGAUGCUAGAGCAAACCACAGACACCUUCUCACCAGUAGCCUGCAAAGGAUACUAUAAGACCACAAUAUUUGUUGAUGGCCAUCAAUGCUGCUUUUGUUCCUGUGAUGCCAUCUGGGGACCGCAGGUCCUUAGGUCUGUCUCAAGACCCCCAUGACAACACACUUCUGUCUUGCCUGUCUGCAGGCUUCCUCUGACCUCUCGCAGACCCCCUGAGCCUGAGUGAAGCUGCUCUCCCUGAACCCGGUAACACACCGGGAAGAGGGGGACAGGAGGGGAGGAUAAAGACACACCCCUGGGAGCCAGUCAUGGGGCACUGCUUUUAGCUGAGGCGGAAGACCCUGGCUAUUUUCAAGCCGACAACUAUUCGUGGUUCAUGACCUGCUCACAAGCAUAUUUACAAUAUCAAAUUUCCUAAUGUUGACCUUCAAGUGGGGCUUUCAACUUUAAAACUCGAGUCCACUUAAGAGAGCAGUUAUGGCAAAUAUGCUGUCCAUUCCUGAGGUUAGACUGAGUAUUGAUUACAUGGUACAGUGUAGGGUCGAAUCAAACAUGAUUUUCAUGGUACAUUCUGUCUACACAUAAUAUUAAGCAUCGAUUCAUUAAUUAUGUAAAAUGUAGACACUGUAUUCAGGAGGGCUGUAUGCAUAAUGUUUCUACAACUUAAAGUAACUGUCCAGUGUUUCCAGAUUUCUAUGAAAUAUGACAUAUAAUUAAUUACAAUAAGAGUAGAAUAGUUUUCCUUCCAAAAAAAGUGUAAUAAAGGAUGUUAAAAAGCAGAUUUUAUGUAUUAGAAUGGUGUUGGCAUACCCCAACAACAGAAUGGUGUGGGUGUAUAGCGGUCAUUAAAAAUACUAAUGCGAGUAGACCACUGAUUGGCCAGCUCAUCCUCCACAGGAGGAUGACAUCCUCUGAGGAAAUGGCAAGCAUUUUUGAAACGGUCUGUUUGAGAUACAAGGUUGAGGUGGGGUUUUUGAGGUGUUUUUUUCUCCCUUUGGCCACAUAUGAGUAUAGGAUGCGUCAACAACAUUAUUUGGGUAUGGAGUUAACAGUUUAUCAACUUUUAAAAGUGAGAUUUUAACUGGACAGUUACUUUAAAUAUUUUUUAAUUUGUGUAUGCUGGUUUUUCUUUUUUGUUCUUUCAGAAGAGAUUUUGUCAACUGCUGCGGAGCUGAAAGACACUCAUUUUGUGUGUAUCCCUGACCUCUGUCAUCUGGGAGGAGAGAAAGAAGAGGUUCUCAUCACCAAGGUGUAUAGAAUGACAGACAUCGCUUUGGAUAAUAUAUUGGACCACAAUAUGUAUGAAAUGAAUUUGUUCUUUGUUAACAUGAUUAGGCAAUCACGUUUUAUUGUUAAAUUCUGGAAAUAUUUUUGUAGAUAUUGUUUGUGGCAAUUUUCUGUUUUUUUAAACUGGGGGUUUGAGUAUCUGGAGAAAAAGGAAAACUUUUGGUUUUUGUUUCAUUAGUCCAUUGCUGAUAUAGUCCCAAAAUGUUUUGUAUUUGUAUUUAUUAUGGAUCCUUAUUAGCUGCUGCCAAUGAAGCAGCUACUCUUCCUGGGGUCCAGCAACAUUAAGAGAUUUAUAUACAGUUAAAAAUAUUACACUUCAUUUCAUUUACCCAAUACAUUUAGUGUGUUCCCAAAUACAAUGCUCUUAUUUUUUUUAUUUUUUGGGGGACUAAUUUAUUCAUUGCCACCAGUUCUGAAACACUAACUGCAGCUCUUUGUUAAGUGUUGCAGUGAUUUCACUCACUGUAGUAGCUGAUGUGUAUAGUGUUGAGUCA